rnacentral:rRNA from 1 species
GACGAACGCUGGCGGCGUGCUUAACACAUGCAAGUCGAACGGAAAGGCCCUGCUUGCAGGGUACUCGCGUGGCGAACGGGUGAGUAACACGUGGGUGAUCUGCCCUGCACUUCGGGAUAAGCCUGGGAAACUGGGUCUAAUACCGGAUAGGAGCCAUUUUUAGUGUGAUGGUUGGAAAGUUUUUUCGGUGUAGGAUGAGCUCGCGGCCUAUCAGCUUGUUGGUGGGGUAAUGGCCUACCAAGGCGGCGACGGGUAGCCGGCCUGAGAGGGUGGACGGCCACAUUGGGACUGAGGUGAGGCCCAGACUCCUACGGGAGGGAGCAGUGGGGAAUAUUGCACAAGGGGCGCAAGCCUGAUGCAGCGACGCCGCGUGGGGGAUGACGGCCUUCGGGUUGUAAACUCAUUUCGCUAGGGACGAAGCUUUUGUGACGGUACCUAGAUAAGAAGCACCGGCUAACUACGUG